AGUGAACGUUGGCGGCGUGGAUUAGGCAUGCAAGUCGAGCGAGAACCGUAGCAAUACGGGGACAGCGGCGAAAGGACAGUAAUGUGUAGGUACCUACCCCGAGGUCUGGGAUAGCUGCGGGAAACUGCAGGUAAUACCGGAUAAUGUCUUCGGACCAAAGGUGUGAUUCCACCUUGGGAGGGGCCUGCAUCCUAUUAGCUAGUUGGCGGGGUAAUGGCCCACCAAGGCGACGAUGGGUAGCGGGUAUGAGAGCACGACCCGCGUCAUUGGGACUGGGACACUGCCCAGACACCUACGGGUGGCUGCAGUCGAGGAUCUUCGGCAAUGGGCGAAAGCCUGACCGAGCGACGCCGCGUGCGGGAUGAAGGCCUUCGGGUUGUAAACCGCUGUCGUAGAGGAGGAAAUGCAGGUGGGUUCUCCCAUCUGUUUGACCUAUUCUAGGAGGAAGUACGGGCUAAGUUCGUGCCAGCAGCCGCCGUAA
rnacentral:rRNA from 1 species